GGCGAACGCUGGCGGCGUGCUUAACACAUGCAAGUCGAACGGAAAGGCCCUGCUUUUGUGGCGUGCUCGAGUGGCGAACGGGUGAGUAACACGUGAGUAACCUGCCCUUGACUUUCGGAUAACUUCACGAAACUGGGGCUAAUACCGGAUAGGAGCUCCUGCUGCAUGGUGGGGGUUGGAAAGUUUCGGCGGUUGGGGAUGGACUCGCGGCUUAUCAGCUUGUUGGUGGGGUAGUGGCUUACCAAGGCUUUGACGGGUAGCCGGCCUGAGAGGGUGACCGGCGACAAUGGGACUGAGGGACGGCCCAGACUCCAACGGGAGGCAGCAGUGGGGAAUAUUGCAGAAUGGGCGGAAGCCUGAUGCAGCGACGCCGCGUGCGGGAUGACGGCCUUCUGGUUGUAAACAGAUUUCGACGGUGACGAGGCGUGAGUGACGGUAAUGGGUAAGAAAGCACCGGCUAACUACGUG
rnacentral:rRNA from 1 species